GAUGAACGCUGGCGGCGUGCUUAACACAUGCAAGUCGAACGGAAAGGCCCAAGCUUGCUUGGGUACUCGAGUGGCGAACGGGUGAGUAACACGUGGGUGAUCUGCCCUGCACUUCGGGAUAAGCCUGGGAAACUGGGUCUAAUACCGGAUAGGACCACUUCUUGGGUGUUGUGGUGGAAAGUUUUUUCGGUGUGGGAUGAGCUCGCGGCCUAUCAGCUUGUUGGUGGGGUAAUGGCCUACCAAGGCGUCGACGCGUAGCCGGCCGGGGAGGGUGUGCGGCCACGCUGGAACUGAGAGACGGUCCAGACUCUGACGGGAGGAAGCACUAGGGAAUCUUCCGGAAUGGGCGGAAGCCGGACGGAGCCACGCGGCGUGAGUGCUGCAGGUCUUCGGAUCGUAAAAUUCUGUUAUUAGGGAAGAACAUACGUGUAAGUAACUGUGCACGUCUGGACGGGACCUAAUCAGAAAGCCACGGCUAACCAAGUG
rnacentral:rRNA from 1 species